AACGAACGCUGGCGGCAGGCCUCAAACAUGCAAGUCUAGGGGGUGUAGCAAUACAUCACCGGCGGACGGGUGCGUAACGCGUGGGAAUAUACCUAUCGAUUCGGAACAACUGAGGGAAACUUCAGCUAAUACCGAAUACGUCCUAACGGAGAAAGAUUUAUCGUCGAUAGAUUAGCCCGCGUUCGAUUAGCUAGUUGGUGGGGUAACGGCCCACCAAGGCGACGAUCGAUAGCUGUUCUGAGAGGAAGAUCAGCCACACUGGGACUGAGACACGGCCCAGACUCCUACGGGAGGCAGCAGUUGGGAAUCUUGGACAAUGGGGGGAAACCCUGAUCCAGCCAUGCCGCGUGAGUGAUGAAGGCCUUCGGGUUGUAAACUCUUUCGCGCACGACGAUAAUGACGGUAGUGCGAGAAGAAGCUCCGGCUAACUUCGUGCCAGCAGCCGCGGUAAU
rnacentral:rRNA from 1 species